CAGCCGCGGUAACACCGGCAGCUCUAGUGGUAGCAAUUUUAUGGGCCUAAAGCGUCCGUAGCCGGUUUAAUAAGUCUCUGGUGAAAUCCUGCAGCUUAACUGUGGGAAUUGCUGGAGAUACUAUUAGACUUGAGACCGGGAGAGGUUAGAGGUACUCCCAGGGUAGAGGUGAAAUUCUGUAAUCCUGGGAGGACCGCCUGUUGCGAAGGCGUCUAACUGGAACGGUUCUGACGGUGAGGGACGAAAGUUAGGGGCGCGAACCGGAUUAGAUACCCGGGUAGUCCUAACUGUAAACGAUGCGGACUUGGUGUUGGGGUGGCUUUGAGCUGCUUCAGUGCCGAAGGGAAGCUGUUAAGUCCGCCGCCUGGGAAGUACGGUCGCAAGACUGAAACUUAAGGAAUUGGCGGGGGAGCACCACAACGCGUGGAGCCUGCCGGUUUAAUUGGAUUCAACGCCGGACAUCUCACCAGAGGCGACAGCUGUAUGAUAGCCAGGUUGAUGACUUUGCUUGACUAGCUGAGAAGUGGUGCAUGG
rnacentral:rRNA from 1 species